rnacentral:snoRNA from 1 species
CCCCGGAGGCCUUACAGGUGUGGUUGCAGUGUCACGUGAGAGGAGACAGGUUAGGAUUCCGUUCAGUGUUCUGACCUAUGAAUAUCUGAAAGACUAACAGACUAACAUU